rnacentral:hammerhead_ribozyme from 1 species
AUUUAUCUGAAGAAUCCAAAAACAGGAUGAAAUGCGCGUUACUGAU